UAGGCGCUGCCCGCCUGUGCGCACUCUCGGCGGCAGGGACAGGAGCAUGUUGAAGAACCCGCGUCAGAACCGCGCGGCUGCAGUCACCCCAGAGCAGGCCGGUAUCGGCGCCCCGGACUUUUUCCGGGUUCCCCCGCCCCAGCUCCCCACCGGCUCCGGAGGCGGCAGCGGCGCGGCCCGAGCGAACGGCAGUGGGGCCAGGUCGGGCGCCGGGCUGGAGCCGAGGCCGCCGCGGACCCCGCAAUCCCGCAGCCGCCAACUGGAGCCCACCUCUGCAGAGACAAAGAUGCCCAAGGAUUCAGCAAACACCAGGGAAACAGAGGAAACAAGCUUGGAUGUGAAAUAGCAACAACUUCUACAUUGAAGAAUAAAACAAUACUUUGAAUUAUACAAACAAAUGGGGCAAUUUGUUGGGCCUUCCAAAGCCCAGAACACUUUACACUGGCCUAUACAUACGGAACUGAGCAAAGAGCUUGUUCAGUUCUAAAAUUUACUGAGAGAUUAAUAGUCAAUUUGCCUCAUUAUCCUCUUCCCCUGUACCCAAAUAAAAGCGGAGCUUUGUGAUCCUCCUUUCAGCUUGGGGAAUGAAGGCUGGGAAGAGACUCUCUGCAAUGAAAAGGCAGCCAUAUUUGCACUUUUUUCUCCUGUGCAAAGCUGCACGAACAGCCUCCAAAGGAAAAUGGAUAUCUUGUUAAUAACAGAUGCCAAACCCCAGCAUCAACGCGAGGUCAGUGGAAUAAGCUGUGUUGUAACCUGGACUCUGGGUCGUCCCCUACUGGGCCUACAACUCGAGUUUUUUGAGAAGUUCACAGUUUUCACAGUAUCUUAGCAGGAUUAUCUACAGCAAGAUGAAGCCUGGCUAGCCUUCUCUGGAAUGAAAGGGGGACACCCCCUCCCCCAUGGCUUUUUUUUUUUCUUUUUUAACAUCGCGGGAUGCGUGUAACCCCCACCUCUUUCUCAUCAAACCGAAGCCUUGAGCGAGUUUUUUUGCCUUCGUGAGCCCAGGCGAUUGUUCUUGCCUCGGGAAAGGGGUAUUUCCGGCGGCGCUCAAAAACACUAGCUCUAGAAAGAGAUUCAUUUCUUUAUUAAGGAGCUAGCUAUGUUCUGGAAUAGUUGUUUACAUUCAGGUUUUUUGCAUUUGCGCUCGGGGCUUGUUUCAAAUAGGUGAAGCCAUCGCAUUCCUGAAGAACAGCAGAGGACGUACCAGCCAACAGCUGAGACGCGCACAGCAAGGUGGCUUACUAUGAGCGAGCGAACAGAGCGAAGGGAAUACAAAUAAAUAUGGCACCUACUCAAAACAACGGAAUCACAGCGGCUGCAGCGGCAUAAGAGACCUAGCGAUUUCAGACGGUUAAAAGCGCGGUUCAAAACGAAAGCGAGCUGAGAAAUGAGAUGCAUUCUACAAAGCGACUUGCCAGAGUGAAAAGUUAAUUGAGUGAAAAUGUUACAAUUGGUUUUUCAAGUAUUCAUUCACUCUAAAUUAUUAAUUGCCAUAAUUUGUAUGGACUAUAGAAAAAAUGAUUAAAUGUGUACUUUGAC